rfam:Pajaroellobacter abortibovis strain BTF92-0548A/99-0131, genome.
GGGCGGGUAACUCAGCGGUAGAGUGCUGGCCUUACAAGCCGGAAGUCGCAGGUUCGAACCCUGUCCCGCCCA